rnacentral:rRNA from 1 species
AUUGAACGCUGGCGGCAGGCCUAACACAUGCAAGUCGAGCGGAUGAAGGGAGCUUGCUCCUGGAUUCAGCGGCGGACGGGUGAGUAAUGCCUAGGAAUCUGCCUGGUAGUGGGGGAUAACGUCCGGAAACGGGCGCUAAUACCGCAUACGUCCUGAGGGAGAAAGUGGGGGAUCUUCGGACCUCACGCUAUCAGAUGAGCCUAGGUCGGAUUAGCUAGUUGGUGGGGUAAAGGCCUACCAAGGCGACGAUCCGUAACUGGUCUGAGAGGAAGAUCAGUCACACUGGAACUGAGACACGGUCCAGACUCCUACGGGAGGCAGCAGUGGGGAAUAUUGGACAAUGGGCGAAAGCCUGAUCCAGCCAUGCCGCGUGUGGGAAGAAGGUCUUCGGAUUGUAAAGCACUUUAAGUUGGGAGGAAGGGCAGUAAGUUAAUACCUUGCUGUUUUGACGUUACCAACAGAAUAAGCACCGGCUAACUUCGUG